CUUCUUCAUUUGUUUUCUCCAAACAUGAGACCCCUCUUAUACAAUAGAGACAAUGGCGCAUUGAGCUCCUGAACUCCUCCAUUUUGCCUUCUUCCUUCCUCAUUCUCAUUUAUGGCUAGGAUAGACACUCUCUCACGACUAACACAUGCCAAAACACGCUUCUUCUUCACAUUCUCAACAGCCUAAAUACCCAUACACGCAUGUAGACUCAUAGAAAGCAACCUUGAAUUUUGAAUUUCAUAUUCUAGAUCUGUAACACAAUAAGCUUAAAAAUCAGAACAAAAACCGAAAGAAAACAGGGUAUUUCAAAGGUGUUUCUAAUUUCUGCUGUGUCGCUUUCUUAAUUUCUUGGAUUCGGAGGUGGUUGUGGAUUUGAACUGAAGUUGCGCUUGCUGUUUCUGAUUUUGCUGAGCUCUGAUUUCUGAUUUCAGCUUUUAUUCGACUUUUCCCCUUUCCUAAAUGUGAACGUUGUGCAACGAGGUAUGUUUUCCCAAAGCC
rnacentral:lncRNA from 1 species